GAUGAACGCUGGCGGCGUGCCUAAUACAUGCAAGUCGAGCGAACCAUUUCGGUGGUGAGCGGCGAACGGGUGAGUAACACGUAGGUAAUCUGCCCAUUAGACGGGGACAACGACAGGAAACGGUCGCUAAUACCGGAUAGACGAAAGUUUAAAGAUGCUUCGGCAUCACUAAUGGAUGAGCCUGCGGCGCAUUAGCUAGUUGGAGGGGUAAGAGCUCCCCAAGGCGACGAUGCGUAGCCGACCUGAGAGGGUGAACGGCCACACUGGGACUGAGACACGGCCAAGACUCCUACGGGAGGCAGCAGUAGGGAAUCUUCGGCAAUGGAAGAAAGUCUGACCGAGCAACGCCGCGUGAAUGAAGAAGGCCUUCGGGUUGUAAAAUUCUGUUAUAAGGGAAGAAAGACACGAGUAGGAAAUGGCUCGUGAGUGACGGUACCUUAUGAGAAAGCCACGGCUAACUACGUGCCAGCCGCCGCAGUAA
rnacentral:rRNA from 1 species